UUUUGGCGCCUUACUAUACUUUGACGUUUUUUGGCGUCUAACUAUACUUUGACGUCUUACUAUACUUUGACGUUUUUUGACGUCUUACUAUACUUUGAUGUUUUUUGGCGUCUUACUGUACUUUGUCAUUUUUUGACAUCUUACAAUACUUUGACGUUUUUUGACGUCUUACCAUACUUUGAUGUUUUUUGGCGUCUUACUGUACUUUGUCAUUUUUUGACAUCUUACAAUACUUUGACGUUUUUUGACGUCUUAGUUUACCAGGACGUUUUUUGACAUCUUACUAUACAGUACUUUGUAGUUUUUUGACGUCUUAUUAUGACGUUUUUUGACGUCUUAGUUUACCAGGAUGUUUGCUUCGCGUUAGAAAUUCCAAGUUCUGACUACAAACGAAAUGCAGCAUCCUCAAAAUUUUGUUCGCACAAGUGCAUGCUGGUUAAAUUAGUUAACUGUUAGCGUCAUAAGUGGGUUUGCUAACUUGUGCACUAAUACACGUUUCGUGCUAUCUCAUACAUUAAAACUUCCCUCUCUUAACUAGGAAUUUAGCUUGUUAGCAUGCUAACACUUGCUAAUUAUCAAAGUAAGCUCACAUUAGCAAGCAGAAGUUAGCAGUUGUAGCAAACAUGUCGGACAUUAAGACAAAGAUUAAUUCUGUUAAAGUUGUUGUUAUUUCAUUUUCAAAUCCCAAGUCACAACAUCGCUAGUUUGUGUCCGGCUCCCUUUAAACGACGACAAAGUACUUGAAAUGUUUGUGAAAUUCUGAAUUAAAAAACAGGAAAAUACACAGUCAUGUGGAGAUGAGGAAACAUAAAGGAUGAAAAGAGGUGACAAGAUAAGAAAUGAAAAUGUGAUAAAGGAGCGAGAGGGACGAAGAUUUUCUCCAAAAAAAACUUCUUCUUCAGUACAGAAGAGAAUCUGAAGAGAAGAAAAUUUCACCCUGAAACCGCAUCAAUUGUGACUGCCCAAAAAACAGUACCACAACGAUCGCGUGUAAAAAUAAAUUCUGAUUUUUUUUAAUCAAAGUAUCUCAAAUUUUGACUCCCUAAUUUUGAAUGAGCCCAAAAUCCUCUCGUAAACACUGGAUCCUCACGACUUAUUUACGCAAACAUCGCAACCCCUGCGAUAGUGCGUUCACACCGAGCACAAAGUGAUGUCUAAUGUUGCAUUUGCUCUUCGGUAUUUUUUGUUACAACAUUUUUUUGAAGUUUUUUGACAUCUUACUAAACUAAGAUAUUUAUGUUUUUUGUUUUUUUCAGUGUACAUGCAAGUUCUCACACGUAUACUGAAACAAAACGACCAUGACAAAACAAAGAGGAGAUACCCGAAGCUGCCGGAGCGACUGCGCCGUGUUUGCCCUGCCACAGCUCCCCCUGCAGGCGGGAGGCUGCACGACGCCUCAAGAGAGUGGAAGUAAGAAGAUUGGAAGAGCAGAGCAGAGACAUGAGCGGUGCCUUCAGCGCAGGAAGACGAGGAGGACGAUGGACGAGGAGGACAUAAGGAGAAGGCGGGGAGACUGAACUGAAGCUGAGACGACGAGAAGGUUCACUGUAAACGACCGGUGAGGACAUGAGUGACAAGGAGGGGAAGCAGGACCAGUGUGAACCCUGACUGAGUGCAGAGGAGUGAACCAAUGAGGGAAGGGGAGGGGGGUCUGGAGGGAGGGAGGGGCCAACCAGAGUGUUUCCAUGGCGACUGUGUGUCUGCGAUGCCACUCAGGGGCCAGAGGUCGCUCACUCGCCGGUCCAUCUGCCACGCUGCGUCUGCAGGGAGAGCCAAUCAGGAGAGAGAUGCCCAGAAAAGACAACCAAUGAGAGGAGAGGGGGUGGAGACCAGGGAGAGGUCAGGGUCCAGAAAGCAAACGUGCUGAAACAGAAACUGGAUCGUGUUUAUCGGGACUAUCUUCAGCGGCGGAUGGAUUCACCGUCUGUAACUCACACUGCAG